rnacentral:rRNA from 1 species
GCCUGAUGCAGCCAUGCCGCGUGCAGGAUGACGGUCUUAUGGAUUGUAAACUGCUUUUAUACGAGAAAAAACACUCCUUCGUGAACGAGCUUGACGGUAUCGUAAGAAUAAGGAUCGGCUAACUCCGUGCCACCAGCCGCGGUAAUACUGACGAUCCUAGCGUUAUCCGGAAUCAUUGGGUUUAAAGGGUCCGUAUGCGGUUUAAUAAUUCAGUGGUGAAAGCCCAUCGCUCAACGGUGGAACGGCCAUUGAUACUGUUAGACUUGAAUUAUUAGGAAGUAACUAGAAUAUGUAGUGUAGCGGUGAAAUGCUUAAAGAUUACGUGGAAUACCAUUUGCGAAGGCUGGUUACUACUAAUUGAUUGACGCUUAUGGACGAAAGCGUGGGUAGCGAACAGGAUUAGAUACCCUGGUAGUCCACGCCGUAGACGAUGGAUACUAGCUGUUGGGAGCAAUUUCAGUGGCUAAACGAAAGUGAUCAGUAUCCCACCUGGGGAGUACGUUCGCAAGAAUGAAACUCAGAGGAAUUGACGGGGGCCCGCACAAGCGGUGGAACAUGUGGUUUAAUUCGAUGAUACGCGAGGAACCUUACCAAGGCUUAAAUGUAGAUUGACCGGUUUGGAAACAGACUUUUC